ACUUACAUCUCUAUCUUGAUUGUCCUGCACUGGACCUCAAUUUUCUCACUUGUAAAAUGGGGAUAAUAACAAUAAUAACAGCAGCACUAAUGAUGCUCCAAUCGCUUAUAACGAUGAGGAAGACACGGAAUAAUUAUGUGAAAUGCUUUAGUACAGAACCCAGGCCAGAGUAUAUUUAGUGCAAGAGACUGUUAUUAUUGUUUUAUUCUUUUUAAUCUCUUCUUUGGUAUCUUUGUUUUUCUUUUUCCUUGUCUCCAUGUUAUUCUCAAGUCUCCUCCCCAUCCCGGCUCCUUUUGCAGGAAGCUCUGCCCCUGGCUUCCUUGGCAGGGACACAACUGGAAAUGACAUCCAGACUAAGAGAUCCCCUCCCAUCUUCCUUAUAGUCCGGGCUCCACCUCAGACUCAGAAAACUUGCCUGGGGGCACAGUAUGGCGUCAAUCCCACAAAUCGCCCCAUAAAAUCCUGAAACCCAGAUCUGUCAUCCAAAGGAGGUAAAUCAGAGUGACUCACAGGAUCCUGCUGUUCAAAUUCCUGGACCCCAAUCUUUUAGAUUUCUAAUUCUCUGAGCACAAUUAGGUUUCCAAUUUUCAGACACAAAAACCCUGAGGCUGAUUUCUCUCCUCUCCCGUCCUAAGUGCCCCGAUCUUUUGGGAUGAAGGAGUGUGGCUUCUUUCCCCAAGACCCAAGGGCUGUUGGGAAUGGACAGCGCAGACCUGCGAUCCUAAGCACUCUGGAGGCUAAGGCAUAUCAGAGCUAACUCUGAGUUGACAGCGAGUUCAAGGCCAGUCUGUGCAACUUAGAAACUGUCUCAAAAUAAAGAUUUAGAAAACGAUUGAGGUUCAGUGUCCUGUAGUAGAAACCUUGUUUAGCAUACGAAAAGCCCUAGACUCUGUCCUCAGUACUGGAAAAAAAAGAAGUGGGAGUGGAAGAAAGUAGAAUGCUUGGAAACACCUCGGGUACCAGAGGCCCAAAGUUCUAUUCUUGGACAUUCCAACCACGCCUUCAGCCGCCUUGGCUCUCUCCAAAGAACCUGACACCACUCACAGGCGCUUUCCUGAAUGGGCGGGGUCGCAGUCCAUGUAGGACAGCGAUAGGCUGCCAGAGACGUCAUUCUCCGUUAGUUUCGGUCAAUCUGCCAAUAGACAAGGAACCUGCCCCUUAGGGUUCGGUUCGGUUCGGCUAAAGGUCCAAGGUACUCGGCGAGGAAACCAGCUCUCCUGGUUGGUCCAGUGUUCCCCGAAGGACACCAGCCCGAUGGAGAGAGUCUGCAGGAACGGCCGGAUGGCAGGUGUGAACUGUGAAGGGAUGCCUGUGUCACCCAACUACCCAGGAGAGGGAUGAGGAUGGGGCACGACUUGGGACAGAGGAACCUCUCCCUGGGACUGAUAAGGAUACAUGGACUGCAGGGAAGCUGCCCCGCUGAGUGCUUGCUUAGCAUUCACUAGACCCUGGGUUUGACUGUAAGCGCCACCAGACAGACAAGACUCAUAACUGAACCAGGACACAAUGCCCGCUCUGACUGAGCCAUGCAAUAUCUCUGGUUGCUCUGCCACUGUUUCUUCAGCCUUUUAGAUCCAGAGAAGCGAGAUGGUAACUCUCUCCUUUCUCCAAGGACGGUGUGAAGGUGCAAAGCCAACUUAAAGGUUCUCAUGUUUCGGAAGUCGCCCCAGUGUUGCUGGGUUGACGAAGGUCGAUUUGAGUCAAUGAGUAGAGGGAUGGAUUGACUGAGAGAGGAAGGAGCUCUUGCAGUUACCGGGUGCCUCUUCCGCCUACCUUUUGCACGCUUAUACUUUAUUUUGAAAAAGCAGUUAAAAACCCUCCCACGUUAUUCUUUUAAGAGGGCAGAAGACAUGAAAAACAGCGCUUGAACCGAAGCUGAAAACACUAAGGGCAUAGCUGUUGCUCUUGGUCACACAGAGAAUAAGGAACCGGAGCGAGAAUCCUAUUCCUACAGACAAGCAAGCAUCUCGAACACUUGUCCCAAGACCGGACUGGGAUAGCUGGUAGUCCUUACGUCUCGGUGGGGCAUUCUACUCUCACAUCACCCCCCACGCACCACGGCAGUGGGUUAAUCCACAGAUCUCUCCCCCACGUGGAAGUGGGUCAGUCCACUCAGUCCCCCGUCCCCCGCAGGAUGUGUGGGAUAUCUUCCAACCUGCUACCGGCUCACCUUUGACCUUGCCUUUUCGCCACCGCCUGCGACUGCGGUUCUUCGAUCCUUCUUUGGCCUGCUUGGAGGCCUGGGCCACCACGGGCGCCGAUUCCACGGCCGGCUCCAUCAAUUCUUUCCAGUCCCGGCGCGGGGCCCAGUUCCAGUGAUCAAGUCCCUCUCUUAGAGUCAAUCUUAGUUACACACCACCGCCAGGCCCCUAAACCAUCCAAUCCUGGGCAGGCUCCUAGCUGAGCUCCGCCUUUAAUGGGCGGAGCCGAAGGUUUUGCCCCGCCCAUUCGCUCAGGUUAAAGGAACCGCGCAAUCCACCACAACGACCAAAAAAAAAAAAAAAAAAAAAGCAACCCUGGAGGCGGCGAAAAGUGUCCUCACAGAAGGAAUGGUGAGGAGUCGCACCAGAGACCCCCCCCCAACAUAGAAUCCUCGGUCUUCUCAUUGAAGGUGCUGACACUCGCUACCCCACUCAUCUUUCCUUGAACUUGGCCCGCCCACUUGCCCCAGGAGCUGGGCGGGCGGGGAUCACCUGGGGGCGUGGCCGCGCUUGGUAGCCCUUGGGAAGCCCCGCCUUUUCUCCGGCCCCUCACGUGUUCGUCCCUGCUGUGUUUUUUCAGACAGGGUCCCAUAUUGUAGUUGAGGCUGCUUCGACCUCUCAGCAAAUUACUUUCCGGUCUCACAUCUUCUAUCCUCCCUCUCUAGAAUAAAAGGGAUGCGGGGCGGUGAAGGAGGAAGACUGCAACCCUAAGGCCUAGCAGCUUGCAGGCCUCAGGCUUGACCUACUGAAAGGAGCGUAAGUAGAGGGAGCUUCACGUGCCCUGGAAAAGGCGGGAAGCAGAGGAGGCCCAAGACUCGCACAUGCGCACUGCAUUCUCAGCCGCUUCUGGGUAGCCCAUGCCAGAAGCUUCAGGAACCGGGCUGCACUGGGAGAAUUAAGCCUCGAUUUUCUUCUUGACGGAGCAAGCAUUAUUCUGUCCCCCUGAGAAACCUCUUAAGUCUUUGGGGGAGGCGGGGCGGGCUCCCUGAGGUGAAAGACCAUCACUACCGGCCUUCGGGACUAUAACCUUCUCUGUGCUCCUGUCAGGACUGGGCUCUGUGGCGUUACCUGGCAUUGCUUCAGAGAGGCAGCAGGAAGAACCGCCGCACCUCAGCAGCACCUCACUAUGCUGUUUCCAUUCAGCCUUGACCUCCCCACAGACAGAAGUCUGUGUUCUGCAACCCUAUCCAGGCCCCUCUCCCAAGCUUCUAAAUGCCAUGAAACCCGGUCACUCCACGACGCUGAGGCCCUGUCGAGGCACUUGGCAGAGGGAAGACCUUCUCGAAGCAGAGGCUGUGAAUGUUCCAGAUGUUGAGCUAGUCUAUACCACGCUUGCCCAGUGUAAGGCCCACAUUGAGCAUUGCGCUAUUGUUGCUUAGUGUGGUGUGCCUCACAACUAUUGCUCGGCCAUUUCUUUCUUUCCUUCCUUCCUUCCUUCCUUCCUUCCUUCCUUCCUUCCUUCCUUCCUUCCUUCCUUCCCAAAUGAAUGCUAGGAGGAGGGUGGUUUCUUUGACCUGAUUCCUGAGUUAGAGCUCUUUCCCACUCCAAUUUGAUUUCCUUCAAAUCUUUUGUACAGGGGCUGCCUAGCAUAAAGGGAGACAAACCUUGCUUUUACCCCUGUGUUUGCUGUUUCCAAACUGCAGGGUCUUGUGUAAGAUCCUUCAUUUUUUUUACGCCUCAGCAUCCCUUCUCUACAGACUGGGGUGGGGGUGGGGAGUCUUGGAAGAUGACCUGAGUGUUAUAAUCCCAGAUACAGAAAAUACUUAGCACGACUCAUGCUAGCUCUAGUCUUCCAGGCUUAGACUCACCUGUAUCCCAGUAGUGCUUGUGUUUCUGGAGGAUGCCUUUCUUCCCAUGUGGUAAUUUCCCACCAUAUCCUGACAUCUUUCCACAAUCGGGUUUCUGUUUGGAGGGCAGCGUUCCUGGGAUCACUGUCCCACCACUUGGCUCUGGAGGGUUUGACUUUGAGGAUGAAUUCAGGUAUUUCUCCAUGUCAGACUCUGUAACACAAUCAAGAAAUGUCUUCCACUCUUGGGAGGGCUGCUGUAUGGCUAGUUUCUGCAGUCUUGCUAAAAUCCCUGACUCUAUCAAAGAUCCCUGGUCAGAUUUGACUCCUUGGACUAGAGGUGUUUGCUGGGCUGUAGGGUCUGACUGCUCAGCUCUCUCUUGGGAGACCAAGUCAGUUUGGGUAGGGAGUUUCUUGUCCGGUCCAGAUACGGCCUGGGCUAUAGAUGUAGCCUCUACUUCUGUAGCUGGAGGUGGUUCUGCUGGUCCAGAUUCUGCUGUCCCCACGUGUUCAUCUCUGUGUUCUAGUUCCUUUUGAGUUGUAUGCACUUUCCCCGCCCCAGGUCCAUUCUGGGAGGUGGCUUCCUGUUGAUCCGAGUGCACUUUGUGGCUUGGGAAUGAUUGCUGUGGUACAGGGAAGGCUAAUGGGGUGAGAAGUUUCUGGAGCAGAGUAGAUUGUUGAACUCCCUGUUCUUGCUGGAAUUCAGCUCCUUGCUGGGCAGUGGCCUCAUUUGGGAGACUUUGUUUCUGUGGGAUACCAAAUUCCUGCAGCUCCCUUGAUCCUGGGUAGUCUGUGAGGGUCUGCUGUGCCUCAGGUCUCCAUUCUGGCCUAGACACAGAGGUAGAACUUGGCUCCAUAGUUGUUAUUUCCCUUGUGAAAGAAAUUGGUCUCCUAGGUUUCAUCCUUCUGCCCCCUACCCUUCAGGCUUCCUCUUCACAGAUCUUUCAUGAUGGCACCUCCCUUUGGGCUCUAAUCUUUUGUCCUGGCAUUCCUGGUCUUUCUUUAGAGCUGGUCCGUGGGUUUUUCACUGCUGGUCCCCACUCCUUGCCAAGUGAUCACUCUGUGCCUCUUACUUUGGGAGAGGGGUUAGGGCUAGGAGGAGACUCAUGUGCCCAGUACUGUCUUACAAGAGGGGAGGGGCUUGCCCUCUUGUGUCAUAAAUAGGGCCCCACCCCACUCACUGCUCAGUUAAAAUGACCAGUGACCCUUCUCAUAAGACAGGUAUCUUAACUUAGUCCUCUCUUUCAGCUGGGUGAGUGGUCUCUCCCCCCAGAGAUGGGAAUCUCAUGUAGCCCAGGCUGGCCUCAAGCUACCAAUCCUCCUGUCUUCAUUAACCAAAGUCUGGGACCACAGGCAGUCUCUGAUUCAGUGCUUCACCUGCCUUUUAGACCCCGGACAGAAGGCAUGUAAGAAGAGUGACAAGUGCAGAGGACACAGUGGCAGCUCUUUAUUGCAAAACCCAGGCACUGCAGGCUGUCAGAGGCCACCUGCUGCGCUUCCUCUGUCCAUCCACUUGUGACCAUCAGCAAAAGUACCAGCGAUGGAAGUGGUAGUUCCUAGGCAGUUGUCCUGUCCUCGCACUGCUGACAGAUUUCUCCAGGUCCCUAACCACUCACAGGGGAAGCAUGUGCUGGUGUGUGCCGGCAAUUCCAGCACUGGGGUCUGUGAACAAGACUUUGAGUUUGAUAACAGAAUCUAUUAAUCUAUUCUCCCUCCCUCCCUCCCUCCCUCCCUCCCUCCCUCCCUCCCUCCCUCCCUCCCUUCCUUCCUUCCUUCCUUCCUUCCUUCCUUCCUUCCGAAGGGCUGGUGGCUGCCGGGUGGGUGAGCUGAUGACCUGACCUCAAUCCUUCCUCACAAGGAAGCAGAGAAACCAGCACAAGGUCCUUUGGCCUCCACACUCAUUUGGGGCACGAGUAACCCCCUCAUCCUUAAAUAAACGUAGUAAAGAAGGAAGGGCUAGGGAUGUAGCUUAGUGAAGACUCUCGACUAGCGUGCCAUGGCUCUGGGUUUGAUUCUCAGCCCUAUAAAAAACAAAGGGCUGGAGAGAUGGCUCAAUGGUUAAGAGCACUGACUGCUCUUCCAGAGGCCCAGCAACCACAUGGUGGCUCACAACCAUCUGUAAUGAGAUCUGAUGCCCUCUUCCAAUGUGUCUGAAGAGAGUGACAGUGUACUCAUAUAAAUAAAAUAUUAAAAAACAAAACAAAACAAAAACAAACCAGCAACAACGUGCAAACAAAAUCAGAGGCAGUUGUCUUUCCCUCCAAACUCUUUCUUGGAGCACUGGGGAAAACAAAGCCUCCUCUUGCUCCUCAGGAAGUUAGUUAUGGUUUAGUUGCCCCAAUUUACAGGACGGGGAGUGUGUGUGUGUGUGUGUGUGUGUGUGUGUGUGUGUGUGUGUGUGUGUGUGAUUACCAGGUCUUCAGGCCCAGGAAGGCUUGAGGAAUAUAGGAACUAUAGGCAAAAAGGGAUCUUUGAACUGUGUUGGUCUAGGUUGGUGGGGGUUCUUGGCUUCAGCCUCUGGAAACGGCCCAAGGCAAAAGGAGAAAGCUGAUAAUGGUCACAGUCAACAUUAAAGGUGAUCGUACCAGGCAGCUCACAGGGGAGGAGUGUUGUGUUUUAAAAGGAUAAAGGGGGGGUUAUGUUUAAUGGAGGUCUGGGGAAACGGGGUGCCUCAGUAGAUCCAUGCUGAGGUGUCCAUUCCCCCUGAGGGGGCCGGCCACAUGACAGUAUAGUAUAGAAUAGUUUAUUCAGGGCAUAGGGAAGGACUUAAGAGGGUAGUAGGAGAGAGAGAGAGAGAGAGAGAGAGAGAGAGAGAGAGAGAGAGAAGAAAUAGAAGAGGAAAGGAGUAGAGGCCAACCAUGAGCACAUGGAGAGAAGGGGGGAAAAUGGGGAGAGAAGGGAUGGAGGGUAAGAGCAAGAGCAAGAGAGUGAGGAAAGGGCAAGCAGCCCCCUUUAUAGUGUCAGGCUGUUGCCAGGUAACUGUGGGGGUGGAGCUUAGACAGAAUGCUAACAAGGGGAGCUUGCCCUGUCACUGUGGAGCCUGCAUUGAGAUGCAUCAUGGGAUGAGUGCAUAAAAACUGCUCACUUCAAGCGUCCAGGAACAAGAAGGCAGCAAGAAACGGCAUCCUAAUAUUUCCUUUAAGGCUGUAUACCCCACCAUGACGUAACUGUUUCCUACCAAGCUCUGUCUCCUCAAGGUUUUCCUGAUUGCCCAAUGGGCUAGCUACCAUGCCUUCAACUCAUGGGCUGUUGGGAAGCACUGAAGAGCCAAAUUAUAACAAUCUCGGAGCAUCAGCACUGAAUUUACUAUCUGCUUUAAGAACAUGUGAAAGAGGGCUGGAGAGAUGGCUCAGCGGUUAGAGCACUGACUGUCCUUCCAGAGGUCCUGAGUUCAAUUCCCAGCAACCACAUGGUGGCUCACAACCAUCUGUGAUGGGAUCUGGUGCCCUCUUCUGGUGUGUCUGAAGACAGCUACAGAGUACUUCUAUAUAAUAAAUAGAUAAAUCUUAAAAAAAAAAAAGGGAAUGUGUGAAAAAAUUAGGGAUUGAUCAACUUAAAUUUUGGGUGACAUUUGUUGGGACUGAAGGGACAGUGAACAAGGAAGUCUUUCCUAGAAACCUCCAGGAAUGAGAGGGUGUGUGAAUUGUUCCUCCAAAAGCAGUAAAUUGAUAAAAAUUA